UUUGAACAUUUCUGAAUUUGCAGUGAUAGCUAUUUUCAGUGGAGAAAAUAUUUGGACGAAUAGAAGAAAGGCGCAUUAGAAUUUUUUAAGGGACUCUCUUUUCAGUUUGCCAGUGAACUCCUUACAGUUGAAUAAUGAAUGUAUUUAACUCUUUCGUAGGCAUCCUCUGGUAUCACGAUUCCAAAACCCCCAAAGCCACCAGAUAAGCCGCUGAUGCCCUACAUGAGGUACAGCAGAAAGGUCUGGGACCAAGUAAAGGCUUCCAACCCUGACCUAAAGUUGUGGGAGAUUGGCAAGAUUAUUGGUGGCAUGUGGCGAGAUCUCACUGAUGAAGAAAAACAAGAAUAUUUAAACGAAUACGAAGCAGAAAAGAUAGAGUACAAUGAAUCUAUGAAGGCCUAUCAUAAUUCCCCCGCGUACCUUGCUUACAUAAAUGCAAAAAGUCGUGCAGAAGCUGCUUUAGAGGAAGAAAGUCGACAGAGACAAUCUCGCAUGGAGAAAGGAGAACCGUACAUGAGCAUUCAGCCUGCUGAA
rnacentral:sRNA from 1 species